UACGUAGGUGACUAGCGUUGUCCGGAUUUACUGGGCGUAAAGAGCGCGCAGGCGGUCGUUCAAGUCGAGUGUGAAAGCCCCCGGCUCAACUGGGGAGGGUCACUUGAUACUGAUCGACUCGAAGGCAGGAGAGGGAAGCGGAAUUCCCGGUGUAGUGGUGAAAUGCGUAGAUAUCAGGAGGAACACCGGUGGUGUAGACGGCUUACUGGACCAUAACUGACG
rnacentral:rRNA from 1 species